rnacentral:rRNA from 1 species
CUUGGCGCAGGCCUACACAUGCAAGUCGAGCGGUAGCACAGAGAGCUUGCUCUCGGGUGACGAGCGGCGGACGGGUGAGUAAUGUCUGGGAAACUGCCUGAUGGAGGGGGAUAACUACUGGAAACGGUAGCUAAUACCGCAUAAUGUCGCAAGACCAAAGAGGGGGACCUUCGGGCCUCUUGCCAUCAGAUGUGCCCAGAUGGGAUUAGCUAGUAGGUGGGGUAACGGCUCACCUAGGCGACGAUCCCUAGCUGGUCUGAGAGGAUGACCAGCCACACUGGAACUGAGACACGGUCCAGACUCCUACGGGAGGCAGCAGUGGGGAAUAUUGCACAAUGGGCGCAAGCCUGAUGCAGCCAUGCCGCGUGUAUGAAGAAGGCCUUCGGGUUGUAAAGUACUUUCAGCGGGGAGGAAGGUGUUGAGGUUAAUAACCUCAGCAAUUGACGUUACCCGCAGAAGAAGCACCGGCUAACUCCGUGCCAGCAGCCGCGGUAAUACGGAGGGUGCAAGCGUUAAUCGGAAUUACUGGGCGUAAAGCGCACGCAGGCGGUCUGUCAAGUCGGAUGUGAAAUCCCCGGGCUCAACCUGGGAACUGCAUUCGAAACUGGCAGGCUAGAGUCUUGUAGAGGGGGGUAGAAUUCCAGGUGUAGCGGUGAAAUGCGUAGAGAUCUGGAGGAAUACCGGUGGCGAAGGCGGCCCCCUGGACAAAGACUGACGCUCAGGUGCGAAAGCGUGGGGAGCAAACAGGAUUAGAUACCCUGGUAGUCCACGCCGUAAACGAUGUCGACUUGGAGGUUGUGCCCUUGAGGMGUGGCUUCCGGAGCUAACGCGUUAAGUCGACCGCCUGGGGAGUACGGCCGCAAGGUUAAAACUCAAAUGAAUUGACGGGGGCCCGCACAAGCGGUGGAGCAUGUGGUUUAAUUCGAUGCAACGCGAAGAACCUUACCUACUCUUGACAUCCAGAGAACUUUCCAGAGAUGGAUUGGUGCCUUCGGGAACUCUGAGACAGGUGCUGCAUGGCUGUCGUCAGCUCGUGUUGUGAAAUGUUGGGUUAAGUCCCGCAACGAGCGCAACCCUUAUCCUUUGUUGCCAGCGGUCCGGCCGGGAACUCAAAGGAGACUGCCAGUGAUAAACUGGAGGAAGGUGGGGAUGACGUCAAGUCAUCAUGGCCCUUACGAGUAGGGCUACACACGUGCUACAAUGGCGCAUACAAAGAGAAGCGACCUCGCGAGAGCAAGCGGACCUCAUAAAGUGCGUCGUAGUCCGGAUUGGAGUCUGCAACUCGACUCCAUGAAGUCGGAAUCGCUAGUAAUCGUAGAUCAGAAUGCUACGGUGAAUACGUUCCCGGGCCUUGUACACACCGCCCGUCACACCAUGGGAGUGGGUUGCAAAAGAAGUAGGUAGCUUAACCUUCGGGAGGGCGCUACCACUUUGAUUCAGGGC